rnacentral:rRNA from 1 species
CCGAAGCCGGUGGAGUAACCUUUUAGGAGCUAGCCGUCGAAGGUGGGACAAAUGAUUGGGGUGAAGUCGUAACAAGGUAGCCGUAUCGGAAGGUGCGGCUGGAUCACCUCCUUU